GAUGAAGAACGCAGCGAAAUGCGAUAAGUAAUGUGAAUUGCAGAAUUCCGUGAAUCAUCGAAUCUUUGAACGCACAUUGCGCCCCCUGGUAUUCCGGGGGGCAUGCCUGUCCGAGCGUCAUUACAACCCUCAAGCUCAGCUUGGUGUUGGGCCCCGCCGCCCCGGCGGGCCCUAAAGUCAGUGGCGGUGCCGUCCGGCUCCGAGCGUAGUAAUUCUUCUCGCUCUGGAGGUCCGGUCGUGUGCUUGCCAGCAACCCCCAAUUUUUUUCAGGUUGACCUCGGAUCAGGUAGGGAUACCCGCUGAACUUAAGCAUAUCAAUAAGCGGAGGA
rnacentral:misc_RNA from 1 species